GGUUCAUCAGCCCUCGGGUAAGAGCGAUAAGUGUUGCUGCAAUUAACGCGUUGUUAUGAUUCCUUAAUGAAAAUUUCAGGGCCAAGUUUUUUUUAAAACUGCCCAAUAAUUUAAAUAUGUUUAUUUGUGCAUUUUCAUCAUGGGGAAAAUUUUUAUUUUAUUUUUAUUGAAAAUCAUUAUAGUUUUUUUCUUUCUUUCUUUUAAUGUUGAUGAACCUUAAUAUAAAUAUACUCAAAAUUGAAAUUAUCAAUCAUAGUUUUUAAUUGCAAAAAAGGUUAUAGUUUUAAUCAGAACAAAAGAGAAAUAUUUCUGAGAAAUGGACAGUCUGUUCACUAUCCUAAUAUGACCUUGAUAUAGUUGUCCUCUAACCAAUGACCUUGAAUAACUGCAUGUAUUUUUAGAAACACGCCUUGAACCGUUUUAAUGAUCAACUUCUAUUUACUUCAAUCGCUAUGGUAAAUGUACAGGCUGCAGAUACUGUACUAUGAUCUAGGUUACAUUAUAAGACAAAUAAAAAAAUGGAAUCAUUGGAUUAAAAGUCUGUAUGCAUUGCAAGAGAGGUAGUUUUUGUGAAGCUAAAUGAAUACAAAAUGAAACUUGUCUAAAUCUGGAAUAGAAUAUCUCCCUCCCUGUGGAAUCUGUCAAUUUGCUAUCAAAUCUAUUAUUAUUGACUCAGAAAUUGCAUGGUUUAAUACUAAUAUGUACCUGCAUGUAUUUGGUGUGGUUAACAUUUUCUGAAAUGCAAAACAUAACGUUAAUGGGAUAUAAGAAUGAAAUAAGUAUGUUGGAUAUGUUUUCUUGGAUUUUGGACGGAAUUCAAAGUUGUCUAAAAGCUUUUCCAAAAGCCUCGAAUUUGUUUUAGUACUUAAAGUGUGACACAAUAUCUAAUUGGUAUUGUGUUGUGCAAGAUGUGAAAAUGUACAAUUUCUGUUGUACUACAGAUUUACUGCUUUUCUGAGGAGCGUUUGAAUGCCUCUUAUAUUCCGUUGCAAUAAUUAUUUUUUCUGCUAGUCCAAAUCAUUGACAGGCCCUAUUCUGUAGAGUAUUCAACAGCCAUAUUUUUGUGUAUUUAGGUGUAAAGGGUUUUGUCAAACGAAAUUUAUUCUUCAAUGUCUCUGUCCUUAAAAAUGUUAUAAAAAUGGUGCAUUAAUGUAGAAAGUACAGGCCGGAUUUGUUCACUGGAUCUUGUAAUUCGAUAAUAUUUCUUUAGAUGGAGUUCUCCGUUUUGUUGUGUAGAUGUUUUAAGGAAAGAAAGAAGUAUAUAGCUGUCAGUCAGAAUUUGUCUCCUAAUUUUCUUAACUGUCUUGAUCUUUCAUCUUACAGAGUAACUGUUAUUUUACCAGUGUGGACUCUUGUAUCCAAUGCGACGACCGAUAUAUGGAGUUUUUAACAAUGUAUUCGUACAACAGAGUUUGUUGCCAAUAAAAAUCACUGCUUU
rnacentral:sRNA from 1 species